GGUCCAUUAUCCGGCUGUGUGAUGGAUCUCAUUUAAUUCUGACAGAUUAGACGGAUCCUCCGUGAAGGCGGCGGACCUCCGGAGGUGAUUACAGAAGGACAAUCUGGAGUCGCAAAGGAAACCCUGGUGGACACGCCGUCACAUUGGGAGGAUGUCGAGCUGCUGCUGAUGAUUCACUGGCUACACGAGUCAACAUAACGCCGCUCCCAAACAAAAAGGUGCCUCAUUCAUUCUGUGACGGCAGAGCAACGAACAAAGUGCCGUGCUGUGAGUUACGGGCGUAAAUAAGCCACCGUCAUCUUUAUGUUCCAUUUCCCGUGGUCCUUCUUCAAACGGCUUUGCGCCGCGGGCUGGAAGCACACAGCCGGUCGGUGGGAGUCUUUUCUCCAGGAAGUCGGCCGUAAAAGGUUAACAAGCUGCCGGUGAUGGAUGGCGGCACAGAGAGCACGGCGAGGUUCAGCGUGAUAUUCCCUCUGCGAACGGCUUCAGAUCAACAUUUACUGCCAGAGGUCAGCGGCACUGUCAGCUGAAAAACGGUGGUCCAAGUCGGGGGAAGAAAUCACAGACUCCAGGUUCCCUUUAUCUCGGGGAACAGGAGGUUUUUCCAGAUGUGCAUUAUGUAAAUCUCAGCAUAUCUGUUUUAGUCCAUAAAUAUUAAGGCAGAACUGAACAAGCUUUUUGGUUUCCUCCCUUUUCCAGGGUUUGAUGAGAACACUCUCAUCCCUGGAACUUAGCACAAAGACUGUUAUUUUCAGUAAAACAGGUUUCAUUUAAACUACA